rnacentral:rRNA from 1 species
AGUGAACGCUGGCGGUAGGCCUAACACAUGCAAGUCGAACGGCAGCACAGUAAGAGCUUGCUCUUACGGGUGGCGAGUGGCGGACGGGUGAGGAAUGCAUCGGAAUCUACUUUUUCGUGGGGGAUAACGUAGGGAAACUUACGCUAAUACCGCAUACGACCUACGGGUGAAAGCAGGGGAUCUUCGGACCUUGCGCGAUUGAAUGAGCCGAUGUCGGAUUAGCUAGUUGGCGGGGUAAAGGCCCACCAAGGCGACGAUCCGUAGCUGGUCUGAGAGGAUGAUCAGCCACACUGGAACUGAGACACGGUCCAGACUCCUACGGGAGGCAGCAGUGGGGAAUAUUGGACAAUGGGCGCAAGCCUGAUCCAGCCAUACCGCGUGGGUGAAGAAGGCCUUCGGGUUGUAAAGCCCUUUUGUUGGGAAAGAAAAGCAGCAGGUUAAUACCCCGCUGUUCUGACGGUACCCAAAGAGUAAGCACCGGCUAACUUCGUG